CGGACGGGUGAGUAAUGUCUGGGAAACUGCCCGAUGGAGGGGGGUAACUACUGGAAACGGUAGCUAAUACCGCAUAACGCCGCAAGACCAAAGAGGGGGACCUUCGGGCCUCUUGCCAUCGGAUGUGUCCAGAUGGGAUUAGCUAGUAGGUGGGGUAACGGCUCACCUAGGCGACGAUCCCUAGCUGGUCUGAGAGGAUGACCAGCCACACUGGAACUGAGACACGGUCCAG
rnacentral:rRNA from 1 species